GUUAAAUUUUUAUUAAAAUUUAAUAAAAAAGUUGACAUAUUUUUCCUUUUUAUGUUAAAAUAGUAAAAAUAAAAAUU
rnacentral:tRNA from 1 species